AAGAUUUGCAAUAAAACAAAACCAUUUAAGAACAUUGAAGGAAAUGUUGAAGCAGUCUGAACCGGCCCGUCUCAGCUCGACCCAAACCAGCUGAUGGUGUCGCUGCGACUCAGCUGGUGGAGUCUCCAGAGGCUGGUUUUAGAACGUAAGAGACGUCUCCUGUUUCAACAGCUAAUAGAGAAGUCAGCUCACCAAGUCAGCUACAAACUGUAGAAACAAAAUGAUCCAGAAUCCAUUUUAUUUCUAUUUGAAACAAGAGUUUUAGG